rnacentral:sRNA from 1 species
UAGGAGGAAACCCAAUGAACGAAGUUCAUUUAUAAAAAUGUUUCCGACGAAAUGCCGCCGACCGAAGGGAGGGGGCAAUACAUAA